rnacentral:rRNA from 1 species
AAUGAACGCUGGCGGCAGGCCUAAAACAUGCAAGUCGAGCGCCUGUAGCAAUACAGGAGCGGCGCACGGGUGCGUAACACGUGGGAAUAUGCCUUUUGGUACGGAACAACUCCGGGAAACUGGAGCUAAUACCGUAUGGUCCCUUCGGGGGAAAGAUUUAUCGCCAAAAGAUUAGCCCGCGCUGGAUUAGCUAGUUGGUGAGGUAAUGGCUCACCAAGGCGACGAUCCAUAGCUGGUCUGAGAGGACGAUCAGCCACACUGGGACUGAGACACGGCCAAGACUCCUACGGGAGGCAGCAGUUAGGAAUAUUGGACAAUGGGCGCAAGCCUGAUCCAGCCAUGCCGCGUGAGCGAUGAAGGCCUUCGGGUUGUAAAGCUCUUUAGUCCACGAAUAUAAUGACUGUAGUGGAAGAAUAAGCCCCGGCUAACUUCGUGCCAGCCGCCGCGGUAACAC